CUGCGAGUGAAGCGGCAAAAGCUCAAAUUUGAAAUCUGACUGUCCUUAGCCGGGCUAUCCGAGUUGUAAUUUGGAGGAGCAUCUUCGGAGGCGGCAGCCGUCCCAAGUUCCGUGGAACCGGACGUCACAGAGGGUGAGAAUCCCGUGUCUGGGCGGCGUUGCUCGUCUUCGUGCGAAGUGCUUCCGACGAGUCGAGUUGUUUGGGAAUGCAGCUCAAAAUGGGUGGUAAAUUUCAUCUAAAGCUAAAUAUUGGCGAGAGACCGAUAGCGCACAAGUAGAGUGAUCGAAAGAUGAAAAGCACUUUGAAAAGAGAGUUAAAAAGUACGUGAAAUUGUUGAAAGGGAAGCGCUUGAGAUCAAACUCAGCCUUGUGGUGAAGCUGUGAGUUCGCUCGGAGCCGCUCGCCUUUGGCUGGGCCAGCAUCGGUUUUGACGGCGGGAGAAACGGCUUGGGAAUGUGGCUUUUCUUCGGGAGAGUGUUAUAGCCCGAUGCCAAAAUACUGCCAGUCGAGACCGAGGAACCCCCCCGCGCCCUUCUUUUUUGUUGGGGCUAGGAUGCUGGCGUAAUGGUCUUAAGCGACCCG
rnacentral:rRNA from 1 species